UACGUAGGAGGCGAGCGUUGUCCGGAAUCAUUGGGCGUAAAGAGCGUGUAGGCGGCUUGGUAAGUCCGCUGUGAAAGUCCAGGGCUCAACCCUGGAAUGCCGGUGGAAACUGUCAAGCUUGAGUCCGGAAGAGGCGAGUGGAAUUCCUGGUGUAGCGGUGGAAUGCGCAGAUAUCAGGAGGAACACCAAUAGCGAAGGCAGCUCGCUGGGACGUUACUGACACUGAGGCGCGAAAGCGUGGGGAGCGAACAGG
rnacentral:rRNA from 1 species